GGGAAUGUGGCUUAGUGGUAGAGUGCUUGCCUAAUAGGCAUUAAGCCCUAGGUUCAAUUCCUCACUACCA
rnacentral:tRNA from 1 species